CUUCUAUUUCAUUCCCUUAUAAAUUGCUACCGCCUACCAGUACCAAGCAAGAACAUGAAGCUAACCAGUUGAGGCUUCUCCUCGCAGCCUCAUCUUCUCAAUUUUCGUUAAUGUUUUAUCUUCAAAAGCUGCAUCUCUUUUAGAGUUCUGUUGGCUGCAAGAGCACACAGAGAUCUGUGUUAAAAUUCUUGUUGGCUUUGUUCUGGAGGCACAAAUCGAUGGCCAGAGCUUUGGGAGAUUUGACCGGAAGGUUUUAUUAAUUCCUCCUCCCGGUUUCCCUUCUCUGGUAAAUCCUUUUUUAUUGAAGUUUGAUUCUAUCUCCUCGAUUUUUUUUUGGAAACAAAUGGAGCCUAAGUUUGGUUUGUUGUUGGAAUAUUUUCUUCUUGUUCUUACAAUUUUAACAGAUUACUGGGAUAAGGAAUCAAUGAUCUCUUCAAAAUUCAAAUCCAAUAUAAGGGUAGAAAGAACGGAAAACACAGAGUGGAGAAUUUGCAGGGGUUCUUCAUUGUCCCAAAUCAGAACAUGAAAAGGAGAAUUAAGCAAACUCAGCUCAGAAUUCUGGAGAAACAAAACGAACAGGUCAAAAGGUUUCUCCAUGAUGGGUUGAGAAAGAAAAAAACCCAGCUAGCCAAAAUCGAUUGGGGAAAUGUUUGAAAAGUCUAAUCUCUUAAGGCAAAGCAUUUUCUAUCAUCCUCUUUCCUUGAAUCUCCAUUCUCCAAACCUGCAAGGAAUUCGUCUUGGAUUCUAAAGUUGGGAGUCCUUACUGGAUUGGGGUUUUAGAACGGAAGACUAUCAGCUUUCGACCAGAAUCGGCAGAUAGAAUUCUAUCGAUUCACGGUGAUUGGAUCCCGGAACGUCUUUAAUUCUGUAACAGGUUUUUAGUAAUGAUAUCGGAUCCUAUCGGAUCGUAUUGGUUUUGAUUGAAGUCGAUAUCAAUACCUGGUCGAAAAAUUAUAUUUUCAUGAAAAUAAGAAUAAAAUGGCCAAAGAAAUUGUCUAAAA